GAUGAACGCUGGCGGCGUGCCUAAUACAUGCAAGUCGAACGCAUUGUCGUGCACCGUAGCUUGCUACACCGAGAGAAAAUGAGUGGCGUACGGGUGAGUAACACGUGGGUAAACUGUCGAUCAGCGGGGGGUAACAGUUGGUAACAGGUGCUAAUACUGCAUAACUCCAUUUACCGAAUGGAAGAUGGGUGAAAGGCGCUCUUGUGUCACGGACGGAGGGGCACGCGGUGCAUUGGCUAGUUUGGGGGGUAACGGCCUACCAAGGCUGCGAUGCAUAGCCGACCUGAGAGGGUGAUCUGCCCCACUGGGACUGGGACACGGCCCCGACUCCUACGGGAGGCAGCAGUAAGGAAUCUUCGGCAAUUGACGCAAGUCUGACCGAGCAACGCCGCGGGAGUGAAGAAAGUUUUCGGAUCGUAAAACUCUGUUGUUAGAGAAGAACAAGAAUUGGAGUGGAAAGUUCAUCCCUUGACGGUAUCUAACCAGAAAGCCACGGCUAACUACGUG
rnacentral:rRNA from 1 species